GACGAACGCUGGCGGCGUGCUUAACACAUGCAAGUCGAGCGGUAAGGCCCUUCGGGUACACGAGCGGCGAACGGGUGAGUAACACGUGGGUGACCUGCCCUUAGCUCUGGGAUAAGCCUGGGAAACUGGGUCUAAUACCGGAUAUGACCUCAUGACGCAUGUUGUGGGGUGGAAAGCCUUGUGCGGCUAGGGAUGGGCCCGCGGCCUAUCAGCUUGUUGGUGGGGUNAUGGCCACCAAGGCGACGACGGGUAGCCGGCCUGAGAGGGCGACCGGCCACACUGGGACUGAGACACGGCCCAGACUCCUACGGGAGGCAGCAGUGGGGAAUCUUGCGCAAUGGGCGAAAGACCUGACGCAGCGACGCCGCGUGA
rnacentral:rRNA from 1 species